rnacentral:lncRNA from 1 species
UUUUUUCAUUUAGAAUACGUAUGGGGCUUGUAGAAAUUAACAAUGAUCACCAUAAGAACUACUAGUAGGAAAGAAACUGAGCCUCACGUAACCAAAAGACCUCCAUUAAAUUUAAACCGAUGGAAGAAGAAGAAGAUUUGGUGGUGGUGAUAUCAAGGAGCAUCGUGAUCCCCAGAAACGCCAAGAAAUCGACUUCCUCCAAGAAGAAGAUCCAUCUGCUUCCUUGGGAUCUCUCUCGCCUCCGCUUCGGUUAUCUUCAAAGAGGUCUCCUUUUCUCCAAACCUUAUCCAAAAAUCGACACAGUUCUCUCAAAGUUACAAACUUCACUCUCUCUAGCACUUGACCGUUUCUACCCUUUAGCUGGUCGUCUCGUAAAGGUACAGAACGACGACGACACUGUCUCCUUUUACAUCAACCCCGAUGGCUCAGGCGUGGAGUUCGUUCACGCCUCAGCUACAAACAUCGAGGUCAGUGAUGUCCUUAGAUUAUCUACUUCUCUCAGCUCCUUCUUCCCCGCUACUGGGGUCAAGAACUGUAACGGCGUCUCGAGAUCUCUCCUCAUGGUUCAAGUGACUGAGAUGAAAGAUGGGAUCUUUAUCGGUUUCGGUUACAACUCCACUGUAGCUGACGGAGAUUCGAUCUGGAAGUUUUUAAACGCGUGGUCUGAGAUCUGCUCCAAGGGUUUGGUUCCCGAACCUUGUCAGCGUCGUCUUCAGCUUAAAGGUUGGUUCUUUGAGGAGAUUGAGUACCCGAUUCGGAUCCCAGACCCGGAGGCAAAACCAGCUAGGGUCACAACAGCUUCGAGUGGUUUACAGGAGUUGAUGUUUCAUGUCACAAAGGAGAAUGCUUUGAAACUUGAAGCUAAAGCCAACGAUGAGAAAGUGUCGUCAUUACAAGCGGUGUUAGGACAUUUAUGGUGUUCGAUGGUUAAGCACAGUGGGAUGAGCAGAGAGGAAGAGACUCAUUGCAGGUUACCUAUAGACAUGAGGAGAAGGGUGGAUCCACCGUUGGAAGAAGACUGUUUUGGGAACGUGAGUCAGACCGGGAUAGCGAAAGUCACGGUUGGUGAGCUGAUGGAUAAUGGAUUAGGGUGGGCGGCUGGGAAGAUAAACGAUAUGGAGCGGUCGCAAACGCAUGAAAACGCGGAAGGGAAUGCGGAGAAAUGGGUGAGAGAUGUGAAGAUUCCGGUUUCGGUUGGUAGUAAAGAUUUGGUUGUGACGAGUUCUCACCGGUUUGAUGUGUAUGGAAAUGAUUUCGGUUGGGGUAAACCGGUAGCUGCGAGAGCUGGACCGCCGUAUGUGAGUGGGAGAAUGGUUGUGUUCCAAGGGGUUGAAGAAGGGAGUCUUGAUUUUCAGGCUUGCUUGCUGCCUCAAGUAGUGGAAAAGCUAUCAGAAGAUGUUGAUUUUAAAGAGUUUGUGAGCAUUGUAUUAUGAUGGUUUGAUGACUUGGUUCAACAAUUUGGAUCGAAUUUAAAAUGUGUGUGUGUGUGUGUGUGUGUUUCUUCCUUUUCUGAUUGUUUGUAAUUCAUCAACCUGGUCACAUGAAAUUCUCAGAUGGCCAUAAACAUUUUUAAAAUAAAUUUGAAUAAUUUUUCUUUAGUUUGGAAGUAGCAGCAGCUUAUGUAUACUAGAUCUUUAAAAUUUAUGAAAAACAAAUGUUUCACAGCAGCAUGUCCAUGGAUGAAAACUGAUAAUGGGCCUGCAAUUUAUGACCCAAUACGCAAUCAAACCGGCCCAAUGUAUUAGAACACGUGGUGAAUAUGUGUUUAGGUGAGAACGGGAUUUGGAUAUACACACUGUCACUCACUAGUCACUACUGUAAUCAUACUGCUCCAUCGAAUUACCUCCAGAAGCGAAGACGACAAACAAGACAUGGCAGAUGUUGUUGUGCUCUCUAAAAGCAUAGUUCGACCCGAUGGAUCGGAUUCGGAUCGGGUAAAGAUCCAUCUAACUCCAUGGGAUCUCUUCUUCCUUCGAUCAGACUACCCGCAAAGAGGUCUCCUCUUUCCAAAACCCGACCCGGAAACCGAUAUAAUCUCACAACUCAAAUCCUCUCUUUCGGUUGCGUUGAGUAUCUUCUACCCAUUCGCCGGCAGACUAGUCAAGACCGAGAACGAAAACGACGAAACGGCGUCGUUCCUCGUAGACUGCGAUGGUUCAGGCGUCAAGUUCAUCCACGCUUCAGCUAAAACCGUCUCGCUGAGUGACGUUCUAGAACCGGUCAACGGCAUCGUCCCCGAGUUCUUGAACCGUUUCUUCCCGGCUAACGGAGUCAAGAGCUGCGAAGGGGUCUCUGAGUCGUUGAUCGCGUUCCAAGUAACGGAGUUAAGAGACGGAGUCUUCAUCGCGUUCGGCUAUAACCACAUGGUCGCAGACGGAUCUUCCUUCUGGAGCUUCUUCAACACUUGGUCGGAGAUUUGCUCCACCGGAGUUGACCGGGAUAAAAAGUUCCCGCCUCUGCUUCUCCGCGGCUGGUUUCUCGACGGGAUCGAUCACCCGAUUCGAAUCCCGAUCUCGGAGACGGUGAUACCGUCUCCUCCGGUUGCUUCUUCGUCAUCGUUGCUACGAGAGAAGGUCUUUCGAUUCACGAGAAGAAACAUCUCCGAGCUCAAAUCGAAAGCAAACGGAGAAGUUAGCUUCGAUGAUCGGAGAAUCUCGUCGCUUCAGGCGGUUUCAGCGCAUAUGUGGCGAUCGAUUAUCAAAAACAGUGAUUUGAAUCCGGAGGAAGUGGUUUACUGCAAGUUACUGAUGGAUAUGAGACGGAGACUAAACCCUCCGCUUGAUAAAGAGUGUUUCGGAAACGUCGUCGGAUUCGCGACAGCGACGACAACGGCUGGAGAAAUGGUUAGUAAUGGGCUGGGUUGGGCCGCGUUGCAGAUAUUAUUACAAGAGAGAUAUGUGGAACCUUAACGACUCACCUGAUCACCACGAAGAAUCCGACGGUAGAUGGAAACGGGCUGGAGAUGUACCAAUCUCUAUGAGAUCAUCGACCACGUGUCUGUUGUCUGUUCCUCCGGUGACCCGAAAUUUUUUUCCGAAUCAAAUCAUGGAACAGGAAGUUCCAGGAAUAUCUGGGUCCGGUAUCACUAGAAACCAAUGUCUUGUUCGGUCGGAUCCUAGCGGGUCUGGUCGUCCGGAAAACCUAGAGCUGGAGAUAACACCGCCGGUAAAAAAGAGCCGACGUGGUCCUCGUUCCCGGAGCUCUCAGUAUAGAGGAGUUACUUUUUACCGACGAACCGGAAGAUGGGAGUCACAUAUUUGGUAACUUAAUUUUCUUAACCCUACGAUAUACCGAAUACUAUUAUUGCAUAUAUGGUACAUCCAUCAAAUCCAAGUUUCAUUUCAUUCGGGCCAAUACCUUAUUGUUAUUUUUAAAAUAUGUGUUGGAAUAUUAUGCAGGGACUGCGGGAAGCAAGUGUACUUAGGUAUGAUCAUGUAAUGUUGUUCAAACACAGAUCAAAUAUCCUAUUGAAACUAAGUUGUGUUGUGUCUGUCCAUUUUUAUAUGAUUUCUUCGACCAAAUAAAGGUUUUAUUAUCUCCUUAUAUUACUUUUUGUUACAUAUUCAGGUGGAUUUGACACAGCACAUGCCGCUGCUCGGUAUGUUUUACUCAUCCAAAUAUGAUCAAUUAGAACGAAUCUAAUAUUCCUUAUUUUGUAAUUUGCUGAUAUACAAAUUAAUUUGGGUGGGUAACUGUUUGGGACAGUGCCUACGAUAGAGCCGCAGUUAAGUUUAGAGGUGUAGAUGCAGAUAUAAAUUUCAAUAUUGAAGACUAUGUGGAGGAUUUGAAACAGGUAAAAUAUUUAUUAUUUGUAGGUUCAAGCAAUUGACUUAGAUUAUUACUCGAACAUAAAACAAAUUAAUAUUUGUUGCAGAUGAGCAGUUUGACAAAGGAAGAGUUCAUGCAUGUCAUUAGAAGGCAAAGCACUGGGUUUCCAAGAGGCAGCUCUAAAUAUAGAGGUGUCACUUUGCAUAAAUGUGGAAGAUGGGAAGCUCGAUUGGGUCAAUUUCUCAACAAAAAGUAAAACUACACAAAUAAUAUGGGGUCAUUUUUUUUUUUGAAAUGUUUUGUUUUUCUUAUGGAUAUUUAAAAUUUGGUACUGUAUUGUUUGCUUUUUAUUUAUUUUCAGGUACGUUUAUUUGGGUCUCUUUGAUACCGAGAUGGAAGCUGCAAGGUACUGUUUUAUUAUUGUUCAAUGUCUCAUCAUCACGUUUCCAAAACAAUAGUAUUUAUGUUUGGGCAAAAGAAAAGCAAUAGUAUCUGUUUUGUUUAAUUUCUUCUUCGUGCUUUUUGAAUUAUAGAGCAUACGAUAAAGCAGCAAUAAAGUCUAAUGGAAAAGAUGCAGUUACCAAUUUUGACCCUAAAGUAUAUGAGGAACAGCAUAAUAGCCCAGGUAACUUGAUUUUACGUUUCCGCCUAUAAAAACUACAUAUACAUUUUUUUUACUCCAGUCACCAAAUUUUACUCACGGUAACCACAUUUUAUCACGGUAACAAUCAUCAGAGAAGCAGUGGGAUGAUCAUAACCUUGAUCUAAGUCUAGUUGAAUCAAACUCGGAAGAGUUUGGAACCAAAUCUGAGGUAAGUUAAGUUGUUCAUGUUUUUAUAAAUUUAAUGUGUGAAAAAAAGAUAAAUAGUGAUUAUGGUCUAAACUGAUACAUUUUAAAGACUGCGAGCAUGAGAAAUGGAUUUAGAGACGAGGAGAGACUAUUAGGGAGCCAUCUCUCCCUAGCGAUGACGACAACAGCGACUGUCGGAUCAGAGAAGCCAUUGGACGGUGGAGGAAAGCGAGUGGGAAUGGCGGCAUCAUCAGGAUUCUCUCCUCGCUUUCCUCCUUGGAACCACCACACUCCUCGCACCUUCCACUUCUUUCGUCCCUGAUUCACCAUCAUCAUCACAGUCACUCAUACAACAAAUGUUUUGGAGAAACUUUCCAGGAGCUAUUUUUCGGCUGUGUGGUGUGUAUGUAUUACAUAUAUGUUCUUGUGUCCAUGUAAGACUUUUCUUUCUGUAAUUUAAUCAUACAACAAAUGUUCGUGGCCCACAUCCUACAUGGUAUCCCCUGUACAUAUUGGAGACUUCUGUUUCAUCAUUUACCAUCUCAUCACAUGCGCUUAGUAACUUAGUUAGGUUUCGAGUCCGGAUCUAGAGAAUACCAUGCACACAACCCAACCGCAAUUUCAGAAAAUAUUAUACCUAAAUGGGUUUUAACGAAAAAAUGUACAUCCGAAUAAAUUUAGGUUUUCUGAGUGAAGUUGGGUUGGGUUGGGCUGGGUUGUUGACAUGGGCCACCCCUAAUAUCGGGACCAAUUCUUUUUUUUUUUUUGAGGGUCAAACAUUGAUAAUGAGAUCCACGUAUUUUUGUCCAAUAUUAUUCAACAAAAAGUAACAAAUAUGUGAUUUAAAUUUUCUAGCUAAUGGAGUGAAUAUGUUUUAUAAUUGUGAAUCACUGGACAUACAUGUGUCUUGCACUAGCUAGUUUUAUAGUUGUUUGAUAAUUCGACAUGUGUAUUGCACUAAUAGUAUAUAUUUACUAGUAUCACUAUCAAGUUGAUAAACUAAAGAUAAAGUGAUAGCGACAUACGAACCAAUCAUACAGAUUAGCCACCAGUGUUUAAAGUUUAUUGUUAUUACAGUAACAAAGCGCCAGAAAAUAAAAAAAAUAUGAAAAGCAACUCUGAGAGCCACAUAAAAGUCACAAAAACACAAUAAUGUAAGACUAUAAACAUGUUUAUAGGUCUUUUUUUCAUUUAGAAUACGUAUGGGGCUUGUAGAAAUUAACAAUGAUCACCAUAAGAACUACUAGUAGGAAAGAAACUGAGCCUCACGUAACCAAAAGACCUCCAUUAAAUUUAAACCGAUGGAAGAAGAAGAAGAUUUGGUGGUGGUGAUAUCAAGGAGCAUCGUGAUCCCCAGAAACGCCAAGAAAUCGACUUCCUCCAAGAAGAAGAUCCAUCUGCUUCCUUGGGAUCUCUCUCGCCUCCGCUUCGGUUAUCUUCAAAGAGGUCUCCUUUUCUCCAAACCUUAUCCAAAAAUCGACACAGUUCUCUCAAAGUUACAAACUUCACUCUCUCUAGCACUUGACCGUUUCUACCCUUUAGCUGGUCGUCUCGUAAAGGUACAGAACGACGACGACACUGUCUCCUUUUACAUCAACCCCGAUGGCUCAGGCGUGGAGUUCGUUCACGCCUCAGCUACAAACAUCGAGGUCAGUGAUGUCCUUAGAUUAUCUACUUCUCUCAGC